UCGGCGAAUGCCGGUGGAACUACAGAUCAUAAUCUCCGGGCCGCGGGUUCGAAUCCCGCCAUCGCGUUGCGAUGUAGCUCAGUCAGGUAGAGCAGGUUCGUUUCACCACACCCUUGUCGCCGGAAC
rnacentral:Y_RNA from 1 species